rnacentral:rRNA from 1 species
ACGCUAGCGGGAUGCCUUACACAUGCAAGUCGAACGGCAGCACGGACUUCGGUCUGGUGGCGAGUGGCGAACGGGUGAGUAAUGUAUCGGAACGUGCCCAGUAGCGGGGGAUAACUACGCGAAAGCGUAGCUAAUACCGCAUACGCCCUUCGGGGGAAAGCAGGGGAUCGUAAGACCUUGCACUAUUGGAGCGGCCGAUAUCGGAUUAGCUAGUUGGUGAGGUAAUGGCUCACCAAGGCCGCGAUCCGUAGCUGGUUUGAGAGGACGACCAGCCACACUGGGACUGAGACACGGCCCAGACUCCUACGGGAGGCAGCAGUGGGGAAUUUUGGACAAUGGGGGAAACCCUGAUCCAGCCAUCCCGCGUGUGCGAUGAAGGCCUUCGGGUUGUAAAGCACUUUUGGCAGGAAAGAAACGGCGCGUGCUAAUACCAUGCGCAACUGACGGUACCUGCAGAAUAAGCACCGGCUAACUACGUGCCAGCAGCCGCGGUAAUACGUAGGGUGCAAGCGUUAAUCGGAAUUACUGGGCGUAAAGCGUGCGCAGGCGGUUCGGAAAGAAAGAUGUGAAAUCCCAGGGCUCAACCUUGGAACUGCAUUUUUAACUACCGGACUAGAGUAUGUCAGAGGGAGGUGGAAUUCCACGUGUAGCAGUGAAAUGCGUAGAUAUGUGGAGGAACACCGAUGGCGAAGGCAGCCUCCUGGGAUAAUACUGACGCUCAUGCACGAAAGCGUGGGGAGCAAAC